rnacentral:lncRNA from 1 species
CCAAAUGAGACACCAAGGGUCUUCUCUUCCACCUCCUUCACCGUCUCCGAUAUGACAGGGGAACUUCUUUCCGGUGACCGCUCUACUUCAAACUAGUCAGACACCCAGUCCACGGUUCCCUCUGACAACACACCGACUUCCUCUGACCCAGAAUCAUAAGAAGAGACAAAGUGAUGUCUCUCCUUCUUGCUAUCCACAAAAUCCGACUCACCUCCCAUCUCCU